rnacentral:rRNA from 1 species
UACGGGGGGAGCAAGCGUUGUUCGGAUUUACUGGGCGUAAAGGGCGCGUAGGCGGUCAGCACAAGUCAGUUGUGAAAUCUCCGGGCUUAACUCGGAAAGGUCAACUGAUACUGUGCGACUAGAGUGCAGAAGGGGCAACUGGAAUUCUCGGUGUAGCGGUGAAAUGCGUAGAUAUCGAGAGGAACACCUGCGGCGAAGGCGGCUACCUGGACAAUUGCUGACGCUCAGGCACGAAAGCGUGGGGAGCAAAAGGG